rnacentral:rRNA from 1 species
AGUGAACGCUGGCGGUAGGCCUAACACAUGCAAGUCGAACGGCAGCACAGUAAGAGCUUGCUCUUACGGGUGGCGAGUGGCGGACGGGUGAGGAAUACAUCGGAAUCUACUUUUUCGUGGGGGAUAACGUAGGGAAACUUACGCUAAUACCGCAUACGACCUACGGGUGAAAGCAGGGGAUCUUCGGACCUUGCGCGAAUGAAUGAGCCGAUGUCGGAUUAGCUGGUUGGCGGGGUAAAGGCCCACCAAGGCGACGAUCCGUAGCUGGUCUGAGAGGAUGAUCAGCCACACUGGAACUGAGACACGGUCCAGACUCCUACGGGAGGCAGCAGUGGGGAAUAUUGGACAAUGGGCGCAAGCCUGAUCCAGCCAUACCGCGUGGGUGAAGAAGGCCUUCGGGUUGUAAAGCCCUUUUGUUGGGAAAGAAAAGCAGCAGGUUAAUACCCCGCUGUUCUGACGGUACCCAAAGAAUAAGCACCGGCUAACUUCGUG